UACGGAGGGUGCGAGCGUUGUCCGGAAUCAUUGGGCGUAAAGGGCGCGUAGGUGGCUUCUCAAGCGUGCGGUGAAAGCUCGGGGCUCAACCCCGGGUCGGCCGUGCGAACUGGGGGGCUCGAGCACUGUAGAGGCAGGCGGAAUUCCGGGAGUAGCGGUGGAAUGCGUAGAGAUCCGGAAGAACACCGGUGGCGAAGGCGGCCUGCUGGGCAGUGACUGACACUGAGGCGCGACAGCGUGGGGAGCAAACAGG
rnacentral:rRNA from 1 species